rnacentral:rRNA from 1 species
AUUGAACGCUGGCGGCAGGCCUAACACAUGCAAGUCGAGCGGAGCGGCGGACGGGUGAGUAAUGCCUAGGAAUCUGCCUGGUAGUGGGGGAUAACGUCCGGAAACGGGCGCUAAUACCGCAUACUAUCAGAUGAGCCUAGGUCGGAUUAGCUAGUUGGUGGGGUAACGGCCUACCAAGGCGACGAUCCGUAACUGGUCUGAGAGCAUGAUCAGUCAGACGAGAACUGAGAAACGGUCCAGACUCCUCCGUGAGGCAGCAGUGGGGAACAUUGGAGAAGGGGCGAAAGCCGGAUCCAGCCAUGCCGCGUGUGAGAAGAAGGUCGUCGUAUUGUAAAGCACUUUAAGUUGGGAGGCGUUACCAACAGAAUAAGCACCGGCUAACUUCGUGCCAGCAGCCGCGGUAAUAC